rnacentral:tRNA from 1 species
AAGGGGGAACGAAAAAUAGUAAGCACUGCUAAUUCUUACACUCCGCGGUUAAAAUCCGCGGCCCCCUUGCG